rnacentral:tRNA from 1 species
GCUCAUGUAGCUCAAUUGGUAGAGCACUUGUCUGAUACACAAGAGGUAAUGGGAUCGUAACCCGUCAUGAGCACUA